UACGGAGGGAGCAAGCGUUAUCCGGAUUCACUGGGUUUAAAGGGUGCGUAGGAGGGCAGGUAAGUCAGUGGUGAAAUCUCCAAGCUUAACUUGGAAACUGCCGUUGAUACUAUCUGUCUUGAAUACCGUGGAGGUGAGCGGAAUAUGUCAUGUAGCGGUGAAAUGCUUAGAUAUGACAUAGAACACCAAUUGCGAAGGCAGCUCGCUACACGAAUAUUGACUCUGAGGCACGAAAGCGUGGGGAUCAAACAGG
rnacentral:rRNA from 1 species